AUUGAACGCUGGCGGCAGGCCUAACACAUGCAAGUCGAACGAGUGGCGGACGGGUGAGUCAUGUCUGUGAAACUGCCCGCUGGAGGGGGAUAACAACUUGAAACGGUAGUUAUUACCGCAUACCAUCGUAUGUGUCCAGAUGGGAUUAGCUCGGAGGGGGGGUAACGGCGCACCAAGGCGACGCUCCCUAGCUGGGUUGAGAGGAUGACCAGCCACACUGGAACUGAGACACGGUCCAGACUCCUACGGGAGGCAGCAGUGGGGAAUAUUGCACAAUGGGCGCAACUCGGAUGCAGCCAUGCCGCGUGUAUGAAGAAGGGCUUCGGGUUGUAAAGGACUUUCAGCGAGGAGGCGUUACUCGCAGAAGAAGCACCGGCUAACUCCGUGCCAGCAGCCGCGGUAAUAC
rnacentral:rRNA from 1 species